rnacentral:rRNA from 1 species
UACGGAGGGUGCAAGCGUUAUCCGGAUUCACUGGGUUUAAAGGGCGCGUAGGCGGUGCGGUAAGUCUGUUGUGAAAUCUCCGGGCUCAACUCGGAGUCUGCAACGGAAACUGCCGUGCUUGAGUAUGGGAGAGGUGAGUGGAAUUCCCGGUGUAGCGGUGAAAUGCGUAGAUAUCGAGAGGAACACCAGAGGCGAAGGCGACUCACUGGACAGAUUCUGACGCUGAGGCACGAAAGCUAGGGGAGCAAACGGG